CAAAACCGAGACGCCUCUGGUCCCCGGAGAGGCUGCUGGCUCUGGGGAAAGGAGAGAACAGCCGAGUGUGACAGAGCGAGUCCCCACGGCUCUGGGAGUGCCUCGCAUGUGUGUGGCCCAGGUCCUGACAGCCCACCUACUCCCUCCCCGGCAGGCACUGGGCUCCCUCUGCUCCCCGUGGGCCGCUCCCCGCGUGGGGCCACUGCCCCCGGCCCCCGCCAUGGUGCGGAUUUCAAAGCCCAAGACGUUUCAGGCCUACUUGGAUGAUUGUCACCGGAGGUAUAGCUGUGCCCACUGCCGCGCUCACCUGGCCAACCACGACGACCUCAUCUCCAAGUCCUUCCAGGGCAGUCAGGGGCGUGCCUACCUCUUCAACUCUGUGUGAGUAUCUGGCCUCCCUUCUUGCUUUCCCUGACCUCUGUUGUGACCUGUGACCCCUGGCAUCCUGCUGAGACUCCCAGAGUUCCCCGGUGCAGGCAGGAAAUUGUGAGCAUCAUCUCUUGGAUGCUGAGGACAGACACAGUGCUUGGCAGGGGGGGCCCUGUGAUGGCAGGACCCUCCCUGGGACUGCCCCAUGUCCCCACAGGGUGAACGUGGGCUGCGGGCCAGCCGAGGAGCGGGUGCUGCUGACCGGCCUCCAUGCUGUCGCCGACAUCCACUGCGAGAACUGCAAGACCACUUUGGGCUGGAAAUAUGUGAGUCAGCCACCUCUGACCCCAGGCUAGCCUUUGACCUGACCUUCCAACACCUCCUCCUGACAAGCUGUCACCCUAUAGCCUUUCAGAUUGCAUAGGCUUAGCUCACACAAGUCAGCAUCCCUGACCACAUUCUCUUUAUCUUGCACCUUGCAAGGGGUGUAGAACUUUUCACUUAACCCAUCCCUUCUCUCCCAGGCACUUGGAUCCCCAUUUGAGAGUUAGGAUAUAAUCAGAGUCACCAUUUAUGGAAUGCUUAUGUGCCUUGCACUGUUGUGUGCCUGGCGUCUAUUAUCUCAUUCAAUCAUUGCAGUGAUCCUGUAGGUAGAAGCUAUUAUUAUCUCUACAGAAGAAGACAGGGAGGCCCAGAGAUGUUAGGUAACUUGCUCAAGAUCACACAACUGGUAAGUAACAGAAUAGGGACCAGAAUCUGAGUUGGUUGGUUGGUUUUUUUUUACUCCAAACCCUUGGUCACCAGCUUAUAUUGUCAUUCAGAGUAUCAGAAAAAUUGCCCCAGACUCCGCAACAACAUGGAGCUUGGGUUCACCAGCCUCCCUUUCCAUAGUCCUCAUUGCCACUGCUGCUGUCCAGGGUCUGAUUUCACUACGCUGAGUCUCAUUUCCUUAUCUCUCAGUGGAAGAUAAAGCCACUGCCUAGCACCCAGGAUUGUUACAGGGAUCAGAUUAGAUGCUCAGGAAGAUGCUCUUGGGCUGCAAGGGACAGGAUUCUUCAGGCGUCGCUUGGAGCUGUGGUGCCUCUGUGAGGUGGAUGCCCCAGGCAGAGCCAGCCAGCCAGCCCUGACCUGAGCUCGCUGCUGACCCUGCCACAGAUUGGCUGUGUGUCUCUGGACAGGUGGCUUGGCCACUCUGGACCUCUAUCAAAUAAAGAGCUGGCCAGCCAGGCACAGUGGCUCACGCCUGUAAUCCCAGCACUUUGGGAGGCCGAGGCAGGUGGAUCACAAGGUCAGGAGAUUGAGACCAUCCUGGCUAACGGUGAAACCCCAUCUCUACUAAAAAUAAAAAAAAAA
rnacentral:sRNA from 1 species